UCUUCAGUGAGGUACAUCCUUACCUGUUACUCCAAUAAAGGAGUAUCAGAUCAUGAUGAGUGGAGAAUAAUGAGAUAUGAUUAAUAUCUUCAUCUUGUAGGGAACGCAACACCCUGCAAGACCAUUCUGAU